AUUGAACGCUGGCGGCAAGCCUAACACAUGCAAGUCGAACGGUAGCACAGAGGAGCUUGCUCCUUGGGUGACGAGUGGCGGACGGGUGAGUAAUGUCUGGGAAACUGCCCGAUGGAGGGGGAUAACUACUGGAAACGGUAGCUAAUACCGCAUAACGUCGCAAGACCAAAGAGGGGGACCUUCGGGCCUCUUGCCAUCGGAUGUGCCCAGAUGGGAUUAGCUAGUAGGUGGGGUAACGGCUCACCUAGGCGAUGAUCCCUAGCUGGUCUGAGAGGAUGACCAGCCACACUGGAACUGAGACACGGUCCAGACUCCUACGGGAGGCAGCAGUGGGGAAUAUUGCACAAUGGGCGCAAGCCUGAUGCAGCCAUGCCGCGUGUAUGAAGAAGGCCUUCGGGUUGUAAAGUACUUUCAGCGGGGAGGAAGGGGUUAAGGUUAAUAACCUUAGCCAUUGACGUUACCCGCAGAAGAAGCACCGGCUAACUCCGUGCCAGCCGCCGCUGUAA
rnacentral:rRNA from 1 species